rnacentral:rRNA from 1 species
GAGUGUGAGAGUGGAAAGUUCACACUGUGACGGUAUCUUACCAGAAAGGGACGGCUAACUACGUGCCAGCAGCCGCGGUAAUACGUAGGUCCCGAGCGUUGUCCGGAUUUAUUGGGCGUAAAGCGAGCGCAGGCGGUUAGAUAAGUCUGAAGUUAAAGGCUGUGGCUUAACCAUAGUAGGCUUUGGAAACUGUUUAACUUGAGUGCAAGAGGGGAGAGUGGAAUUCCAUGUGUAGCGGUGAAAUGCGUAGAUAUAUGG